GGCCAGACUCCUACGGGAGGCAGCAGUGGGGAAUAUUGCACAAUGGGGGAAACCCUGAUGCAGCGACGCCGCGUGAGUGAAGAAGUAUUUCGGUACGUAAAGCUCUAUCAGCAGGGAAGAAAAAAAGUCCUUUGGACUUUGGACGGUACCUGACCAAGAAGCCCCGGCUAACUACGUGCCAGCAGCCGCGGUAAUACGUAGGGGGCAAGCGUUAUCCGGAUUUACUGGGUGUAAAGGGAGCGUAGACGGCAGCGCAAGUCUGGAGUGAAAUGCCGGGGCUCAACCCCGGAACUGCUUUGGAAACUGUGCAGCUCGAGUGCAGGAGAGGUAAGCGGAAUUCCUAGUGUAGCGGUGAAAUGCGUAGAUAUUAGGAGGAACACCAGUGGCGAAGGCGGCUUGCUGGACGAUGACUGACGCUGAGGCUCGAAAGCGUGGGGAGCAAACAGGAUUAGAUACCCCUGUACUU
rnacentral:rRNA from 1 species